rnacentral:tRNA from 1 species
GUGGCUAUAGCUCAGUUGGUUAGAGCGCCGGGUUGUGGUCCCGGAGGUCGCGGGUUCAAAUCCCGUUAGUCACC